AUUAAUCUAGUUUAUAAGAACAUUAAGUUGUGGUCUUAAAGGUGAGUGCGUAAUACUCGAUUAAUC
rnacentral:tRNA from 1 species